rnacentral:misc_RNA from 1 species
AUAUGCCUAAGUUCAUAAUGAAAACCAAAAGACAGACGCACAAACGCAUUAUGUAAGGACUAGACAGGAAACAAAGAAAUUUUAUUAUAAUAAAUAACAAAAUAAAAUUUGAUUGGCAUAUUAAAUAAAAAACAUAGUUGUGCAAAUUCGUGCACUUAGUCUCAUGGUCAAACACCUUCAAAUUUUCAACUGUAGUAAUCCAUCAAUUUAUAACUCAUUUUAAUUUGUAUAAAAUUUAAAAUGAUUUAAAUACGAUAAUGUGUUGAUAUAAUCGAUCUGAAUUUUAAUUAAAAUAUUAAAUUAACGAAAAGAUUAAUAGAAUAAUCCAUUAAAUGCAAAU